UUUCAAACUUCUUUUUUUAAACAGGUCUUUGCAGAAACAGAAGCACAGAAGGGAGCAUAUAGAGAAUUAACACUGCAAGCUUAUCAAGAAGCAUUCAUUAGCAAUUCUGCAGCUUCCUAAGAUAUUUUUUAAAUAAAUUUCAUUUUAC